UUCUGACGAAUUCGUCUGCGCACCACAUGCACCAUUACGGUGCAAAAAAUGUUUCCAAUAUCAAAUUGAUAAUACUGCAUAAUUCAAACGUUAUAAGACAAUAAUGUUCAAUCUUAAUCAACAUACAUUCAUCGUAUCUCAGAAAUUUAAUUUAAAAGAAUAUUUUGGCAACCCAAAAUUUAAAUACAUUGAGGACUGUAUAUGUAUAUAUUCUGUAUCUGCUUAUAAUGACACUCCAUUUAAAUUAAUUCGACCUCGACUGAAGUUGCAGCAGCACAUACAUACGUCAUCCAUAGCACGUGAUCAGCUUCCCACCAGACCUUACUAUGUAUCCAACUCUCUGUCAACUCGCAAAGCCGACUGCAAUUUUGCAAUCGAUAUAUGAAAAACUCCCCCUGAUUGCCCCAUCGAGCCCAGUUCCGGCCUGACACUGCGGAUUUUAUUUUUAUUUUUUGAAACAGCUUGCAAAUGAGGCUGCUUCGAUUUUGAAAGGCCUUCAAAGUAUCAGAUUGUUCUUGUGCGGCAUAUUUGCGAGUGCCAUUGAAGUCAGAGGUCAACCGGUCAACGGACGUUGUCACAGUGCAUAUAUCGAGCAUCAAUUGCGGCCAAUUAUUGGCCUCCGUAAUGACUGCGGCGGAGCCAAAUGCACGCAAUUGCGCGUCGGCGUCGUCUUAUCGGCCUUACAACGACCGCUGAUACAAAAUAAUAAUGAAAGGCAGGCAAGAUGUCGCGACGAGCAAAGUGCAACACAUUACUGACCGUGGCUUGCGAAAGAGUGUGCGGGAAGUGCAUAAUUUAAUCCACUUGGUCGAGAGGAACGCGUGCUAGGCGCUUAUUUUAUAGCAAAAUAUUUUCUGUUAUUGUUCUGAUCUGCAAAACAAGCAUGAAAUAUCACACCUAUCCUAGGAAACGCAUGACGAAUCAACACAAAUCAAAGCUAGAGGAAAAACAAAGUUUCUAAUUGUCAUACAAAUUUUCAGAAUAGUUUCAACAAGCGUGAACAUGUUCAUUUUUCCUAAAUAAUUUCUGUCUCGGAUAUUAAAACUCAGUUACUUUGGUGCGAACGUCGGACGCACCCACUUUCUCUGGCGCGUAAAGUUUCAUUGACGGUUCACUCGACACCUUGCCAAUCAGAUGGUGCACAGUAAAUUGAUAUUCUCUAAGCUGAUUGGGAACUCUAAUAGAAUUUAAAUGGCUUCGUUAUAAAUUGCUGUGAUUACUAUUUCACAAAUUACACAAGGGGUGCAUUAUUUUUUUAUUAUAAAUUUGAGCAUUUGUCAAAAAAAGAUUGAGACACCUGGCGUGACAUAGGUAUCAAGAGUUUGAAUAUCCUCAAAUUAAAAAAAUGUCUUUGUGAUAAAUUAUGGAAUUUAACAAACAUAACAUGACACGUUGCCAUUCAUAUUAUUAAAAUAGGAAAUCUCUGAGAGAUGAGUAUAUAUACCCAACUGUUUAGAAACGACAAGAAUAUGUAUGUAUGUAUAGUGUUAAAAUGCUGAGUAGAGUUGAAUCCCUGGGCUGAAGACGUGAUAUAUUUUCCUCUCGCGCUGAAAUAUGCAACACAAAAACAUUCGUGCCGCAAGUUACAGGACGUUUCAAUGCUCGACUGCCUUUGCAAAAUAUAAAUAUAGAGUUACCGAGGAGGGUGUUGUUGCCGUCGCUAUUUCCAGCGUCCACCGUCCGAUCCGUGAAUGAGUUUGUUGCUCACUCGCGGUAAUAUUUAUGCUCGGGCUGCGUGAUGGAGUGUUUGCCUAAUGCAAAAAGUAAUAUCUCUUUCAGUGAAGAAGCCGGCCGGGGUUGGAAACAAAUCGCACGCGCCCGACCAGCGCGGCUAUUUUAGCGAUCACUUAUUAAGUGGUGCAUCGCAUCGCGCAUACAGCGUCACGGCUAGAAGGUUAAUGCCUUUCGCGUGUGUUUAUCACGAUGGCUGUGCCAGUAAUUCUAAUCCUCUUCUCGCGCACAUUCUUCCUCCGUGUGCAUACAAACAGCGGCGUGGAAUAAUGUUUAUUUAAAAUGUGCGUUGAGGUCUCGUUAAUCACGACACCAAGCACUCAUAUUCAUCAGCGAAAUUUCAUAAAAUUGUCGCCCCGCGAGUGCUGAGUGGAUUGCGCGUGCAUGGAAUUGAGGAUGAGCCAACUGCAGCUCCUCUCCGCGUUCCUUCUCUGCCCUGUCCGCGCUUUUAACCGUAGAAAUAUAUUUCAAUUUCAAAAUUCGAUCGGUCUUGAACAAAAUGCAAGUGUCACGAGACAAAGAAUUAAUAAAUGUCGCGGCUGGUUAGUGCGUUUAAUGUGCACCUCUGAUUGCGAGUUGAGGUUGAGCCAAAUCGGGUCCGCGGCUGCCGCUGUUUGUCUUUUCUGAUUGCCGUGCGGCGGUCGUUUUCUCUGCGACGCAGAAAUUUACUCAGACGUGUAUGCAGUUUGUGUUGGUUUCCCGUGUUUUUCUCCUUCUCUCGUCACCCGCUCGUUUACAAUUACUUUGAGUGUGCAUAAAAUAUGAGUUGCAAGACCACCCAGAGUCGCGCUGGGCGUGCUUUUACGCUAUUUGCUCAUUCAGCAAGCAUGUCGCACGGGAAACAAUCAAGUUUUCAUUAAUUUAGAGGCAACGCGCACAAGGCUUUUCGUGUUGAGACCCAACUGCGGACGCGACAAACAAAUAAUGAACCCCCGACUGAUGGGAUGAUCGAUUGCUUCGUCAAGAAAGUGUGACUGACAUGUUUAUUAAAGACCUUCCAUGCUCAAUUAUUUUUGUUUAUUCUAGCUCGAGUCAAAUACAGUAAAAUAAAUUAAAUUCAAACACUCUGAUCUUUGUAAAUAUUUUUGUGAUUUUUAUCUCGUCUUUAAAAAUAAUUUUCCUAUUGUUUUUACGCAUUCUUCCUCACUAACAAUAGGUCUAAUACCAAAUUAGUUCACCAUUGUUGAAUUUUCUCUGAAGUACAAGACUCCGAUAUUGUCAAGAAAGUGCAAUACAAACAUCAGUCAGGGAGCACAUGCGCUCGCAGCGAUCCAUGCGAUCAAUCAAGCAGAAAAUAAUUCCCCGUAAGCUCGGAUCACGACUAAUUGUUUGAUUUGAAUUGUAAAUUGAGCUCUACCACAGGGAACUGACCUUGUCGCUCGGUUUUACAAGUGAAAAGGCGAAUAAAUGCGCUCCGCCGCGACAGUUGAUUCGAGUGAACAAACAUACAUAAACACAAUCUUACAAUUAGCUCUAACAAACCUGCACUGUUUUAGCACCUCAAUGAGAAGGAGCGAAUAAAGCAAUAUACAUGUUGCUGGCUUCUGGCGAGAGUUCAUUGUUUGGAGUUACACCUGUCAUGCUCUUUUUAUAUCGUGUUGUCUACGUGCUUAUAUCUUUCGAACAUGACCUCGCCCACCCCUGGAUGGCGCAACUGUAUGUAGAUAGCUGCCUCAUUUCAUGCUGAUUGUGCAUAAAUUAGUUUACAAUUUUGCACUUGAACCGGAUGAUGAUCCUUUUAGAGGUUAUGCUUUUUACGUGAACCUUUGGCCCUUGACAAAGUCUCAAUGAUAAGUCAUUAUCAUUUUUAAUCACAUUUAAUUCAAAGUAUUGCGUAAUAUCGCUGUUUGGUUAUCAGAAAAGGGCAAAGCUACCUAUAUUUAGUCUUUGAUGUUUUUUCUUUGAUCCAGCUGAUUGAUUUUGUUAAGUACUGUUUUUUCAUCAAGAAACGCAUGAAUUUAAAAAAAAAUCUAGAGAGAACGGAAACGGUUGCACUCAAUGCUCAAUAAUGGUGCUUUAAUGAAUAUUGAAUUAAAUUCUUUAGUUUAAGCAAAGAUCAGCACAGUAUUUUUAAAUUUACAGAUAAAGUAUAAUGUGCCUAUGUAGACUGUAAUCGUCGCGGGUAUCGUUCUUGAAGAUCGAAGGUCUCACCAGCAUGGUGGCAUUUGCCCACUACCACUGGUAUUUAACGGGUUUUACCCCUCAAUUUUUACCAAUUUCCCCUGUGAAAAUCUAAAAUUUGCGGUUAAAGUGGUCAAAAUUUCCUCUACUGUGCAGAUUUCUUCUUUUAAAUUACCAUUUGCUGCUCCAAUUUCUCCAAAAAUGUCUCUCUGACAAUUUUUCAAAGAGCUAAUAAUUAGAAAAUUAUUGAAAACUGAGAUGCAAACAUGGCCUGCAGGAAACUGGUAAAAAAAAGAAAAAAAACGCUUGUACCACUGCGCUUCCAUUUAAAAAAAAUGUGGGUAUUUUGCAACCCUGCUCACUAGAGUGAGAAAUUUAUUUUCACACAAAGAUGCCAAGCCGGCAAAUUGAAUAUUGCUUAAGAUGGCUAUGGGUGCUAGACUCACAAGUAAGUUGGCUAAAUAAUGGCAUUUUUCCAGAGAAGUAGAGAAUCCAAGGUUAACAACAACAACAACCACUACUCAUAAGUUACACCUUGCCCGCAUUAUUUGUUCAAUAACAAAAAUAAGUCGUUCAGUUUACAUUCCCACUUUCAGACGUGUUUUGGAAUUUUAUUGCUCGCAAGUGCUGCUUCUUUUUGUGCACUCGUAUAAAACAAUGCACCAUAAUUAACAAGCGUGUGCACCUGCUUCGGCGAGAGGCAAAAAGAAGCUAGUACUCUUGAUGUGGCGAUGGAAAACCACCGCCAACACGCAUUGCGAAUGGAUUUCAUUUCUUGUUGGUUAUUGUUUUCCGCCGCUGUUGCACUGGAGUGUGAUCUUGAGGUUGCUGCAAUUGAAACAAUUCUGAUACAUUGUUCAGGUCUGUGUGGCUGUUGCGCCGACAUUGCAGCGCUGAAAAAGGCUGGAAUUUUUCUUUAAUUGCGAGCAAGGUUGUCAAGCUCGUCGUAAGACCAUUAUGCGACAGCUGCACGUGAUGAUAAUCUUGCUUAUUAUUAAUUACAAAUUAAUUAAACAAGUUGGCCGUGGCAACAUUAGUGCUAAUUGUUUUUUACAAAAAUGUAUCGUUUUGUAUUAAUCGAGUGCAUAAUAUCAUCACUGGCUAAAAACCAACUGCGCCACAUGUUUUUUAGAGGCAUGGUUUUGUGACGCACAUGUAGAAGUUGACACGAAAACUAAGUGAGCAAGAAUUUGAAAUGUAUUUUAAUUUAUAGUCUAUAUAAAGUCUCUACAUGUUUACAACAACGUCCGAGUAAUCCAUUCUAAUUAUAGUAACUCAAUAUAAUAUAUCAAGAAACAGACACUCUCACAGCUGGCCUGGAUUUUAUCUCAAAAUAUGGCUGGAGAGACACACAAGUGGCGGAUCACAACAUUGGCAUUAGCCAAGCGCGGAAAAAUGAAUACUCCCCGCGCCGGACCGAAAUAAAACGGCGUGGAAGUUGCAUCACGUAAAUGGACACCGCGAGAGCACCGAGUGUGGCACCGACGGUCGACACAGAGUACGGAGAGUGAAGCAAUUUGCGCGGCUGACAUUUGAUUAAAACACAGUGAAAAUAGCCACUCGCUAGAUCUGAGUGUUGCGGCAAAGCGAAGAUGCGGCCGGCGCCGAUAUUAAUUGCCUGCUCGAUUGACCGUGUGUGUACAAUGUGCAGUGCGUGGGACGCGAAUUAAUUUGCCUGAGUUAAUGAAUUGUUUGUUGUUGGCUGCCUGGCUCAAAAAAGUGCACUCUUUAUUUAUUGUGACACUCUGCGCCGAGGAGUAGUUGUCGUGCGAAUAUGCAUAAAUUAGAAAUUCUCGACAUUUUAUCGUCUCUUACAAUCAGAUAAAUGGAGAAACGCUCUGGCGCGCUGAUGCAUUUGUCCGAUCGUAUCUUCUUUCAAAUUUAUAACACAAAUAAUGAGCUUUAACAUUUAUUAUUAUGUAUUCUUAUUUUGCUUUUCAGUUUCAUAUCAAUUUGAUGAAUACGCAUAUAAUAUCAACAAAUUAGAAAAUGUAGAAUAGAAAACCAUUUUUGCAAAAUAUCACGGGUGGCAAUUUUGAAACACCUAAGGUUUGCAGCAUAUAAACUCGCUGAGUUGGAAAACGUUUUUCAUUAAAUUUGAUAUCUAGGAAAUAGCCUCUGAUACUUUUGUUAUUACGAUUCAGAAAAUAGUUUGCUUUGGAAGGGUGAAAGAUUGUGCGCUGCUGCUAUAGAAAAUAACCAUCAGAUCAAUUGACAAAUUUAUUGCUCUCAACUUAAGAAUUCAGUAAAAUGAAUUGAGAAAAUUGCUGUCUCUCGAUUAAAUAUUUUCUUUUCCAGAAGAUUUAAUGCAGCCCUUAAUAGCAUCGGAAAAAAAUUUGAAUACGGCAAAGUGACCCGAGUUCUAGUUAGUUGUCAGAUGUUCUGUCAGAGAUGGAUCGUCACGUGUUUUUGCCAAGUAAUCUGCAUACUCAGACGCACAAUAGGACUCACAUUCCCUCUUUUGUAAAUAAGCACUUACUCUUAUGUAUGAGGUCAUCUGUCCAGAAAAAAAGCUUUUGCCAAAGCAAUGUGCCCAUUAGCGUGGCCUAAACUCGAUUAGAAUAUGAAUGAAACGGAAAUUACAUUUGCGCGUUGGCAGAAAACGCACAAAAGUGAGUUUCUUCAGAGAACAGAAACUGGCUGUUAUGAUGGCUUUGUCAAGGAAGCGCCAGUCGAAGCAUAAUAUUAUUUCAAACUCGUUGACCGCAUCGUUAUUUUUGGAUAAAAUUUAUUUACAGUAAGUUAAUGAGAUGAAAGACAUGACAUGAUGUAUAUAAUGAUUUUUGUUUCAUUCCCGCAUUGAUUCGGAACAGUUCAAAUUAUUUAUGAGAAUCAUCACCUGGACCUGAGGAAUUGUAUUAACCGGGACGAAACGUUGGAAUAGCCAAGGAAUACUUUAUAUUCAGCAACAUGUUAACUGACUCAAAUUUAUCCGUCAUGAAAUCUUUAGACUUUUAACGAAAAGAAUAAGUUCAAACACUUCACUGAAGACUAAACAUCAAAUAUUCAGAGCCAAACUGACUAUAAUGGACGCCAUUCAAGUUGUACAGCGCUCUGGUUGGCUCCAUAUUCUUCAUUUACUUGUGAGAAAUUCAUCACGCUGUUCAGUUCGAUUGGGCAACACUUAGAGGUCUGCAGAGAGACAACCGUUCCAUGUUUGAAUUUUUAUAACUGCCAUCUGUGUAAUUUAGUGAUCAUGAAUUAUGAGUGAAAGGCGUGGCCCCAAUUAGUCCCGAUGAGUAUUUAAUUUAUAAAGAUUGCAAGCUUGUUUGAGUAAAACCACUAAAACUUAGAAGCCUAAAUUAAGUUGGUAAAUUUUAAUUUCAUUGCUUUAAUAUUGUUAACCAGAUUCUCGUCUGAUUUUAAUAGGAAAAACUUAUGUUUAAACCCUUUCUUAUGAUUUUUUUAUUUUCGUUGUAAAUAAAAUGAAGAAUGCACAGCAACAAUUUGUAAUGUAAAACUUUGAGGUUUAAUAAUUUUAAUAAUGAGCAAAAAAAUGGCAAGAGCCUAUAUGUAUUAUAAUCAAAACCAGUUGGCGUCACAUGGUCGUAACAAAAUGUAUGAUUAGAUUGCAACUCGACAACAACAACAAAACAUAAUAAUAUAAGAGAUAAUAAAGGUGCGAAUUUAAUACAUA